rnacentral:rRNA from 1 species
UGGGGAAUAUUGCGCAAUGGGCGAAAGCCUGACGCAGCAACACCGCGUGAGGGAUGACGGCCUUCGGGUUGUAAACCUCUUUCAGCUCCGACGAAGCGAAAGUGACGGUAGGAGCAGAAGAAGCACCGGCUAACUACGUGCCAGCAGCCGCGGUAAUACGUAGGGUGCAAGCGUUGUCCGGAAUUAUUGGGCGUAAAGAGCUCGUAGGCGGUCCGUUGCGUCUGCCGUGAAAACCCGGAGCUCAACUCCGGGCCUGCGGUGGAUACGGGCGGACUAGAGUCCGGUAGGGGAGACUGGAAUUCCUGGUGUAGCGGUGGAAUGCGCAGAUAUCGGGAGGAACACCGGUGGCGAAGGCGGUCACCUGGGCCAGUACUGACGCUGAGGCGCGAAAGCGUGGGGAGCAAACAGGAUUAGAUACCCUGGUAGUCCACGCCGUAAACGAUGAGCACUCGGUGCCGCGGGUAUCGACCCCUGCGGUGCCUUA